AUACAACAGGUGGACGAGCCACCA
rnacentral:siRNA from 1 species